CGGAGGAUAGCGCAGUUUUGCAGUCAGAGGUGUUUUACCUUCACGUAGAGUAGAAUAACGUCUUUUGCAUUGCAGGGAUGCAGCGGUGAAUCUGUAAAAGCAGUGAGAUACUUUGUUGUAAAGCAACAGACUAGAUUCUUUCUUCCCGUAUGUGGCAGUAGCCAUUAAGUUUUAGGGGCCCAAAAUACGCACGGGUGUGUGGUGUUAGUCCAUGGAGAAUCAUUUCCUAUUCCAGCUGUGUUUACUUGAUAGUCAUUGACCAUAAGUGUUAAUCACUCUCAGGGCAACUUUGUAAAUAUUAUAAUUAGAGGAAGUAAUUUAAUCAUUAUCUUCACUUACACAGCUGUUGUAUCAAUGAUUUGAAUAAGUGUAUGAAAUAAACACACUGCCUUUAACCUCCCCAGACAGCAAUCUGAGCCUGAGCACCCUAAAGAGAAGUAUAAAGGCCUUCUGUGGAAAAGACCAAAGCCACAAGCACAACCAUGUACCACAAGAAGAGAGCCAGAAAAAUCAACAGUAGUUGCUUCAGGGAUGAGGAAGAUACAGACUGAACCUGCUGGGGUGGCUGUUGCAUGCUGACCUAUUCUCUUGCUACCAGCCAGUCAGGGUUGGUUGGUGUAUCGACUUGGUGGCUGCUGCGCUGUAAGUCUUCUCAUCUUUUUUCCCCAUAUAAACGUCUUCAGAUGCAGUUUGACAGCAGGUUACACUGUGAAGAUUUUUCCACUCUCUAGUUCUACACCAUCAAGACAUGCUUAAAUUAUCCUACAGGAUGCACCUUCAGAGAAGCCCGUGUUACUUACACAUCCCUGGUUUUGACUGACAAUUUCUACGCUGUUACUAGAUAGGCCACUUCUCUGGAGAGUCCCCCUUUCCCAUCUGACAGAAAUGCAGGCAGACAGCUUCAGUUCUGUGCUACCUAAAAAACCUGAGGUGAUAACUCCCUACAAAGCGUGACAAGGAGUCACUGCAUGCUCUGGUUUGCCUUAGGGCUGGUUUGCUUUAUAGAGCUGGACCAGUUUCUUCUGAGUCAGAUUCUGUUAUAUGCAAGGUACUGUGGUGCCUUUAAUUCAGUUUAAGAGUGGAUGAGAUGGGUUCCUUCCCCCUUCACAGUUAUUACCUUGUUAUUACUGUUUGUUAAUGUGUACCCUGGUAGCAGCAAACAGCUACAAGCAUGCCCCAGGGCCUGGUGCGGUAAGUGUCCAUGGUGUGUUUUUCUCUCUUGAUUGUUCAGGAGUCAUCAUUGCAUUAUAAACUUAUCUCUACAGCUUCUCAAGAUUCAUUCUUGCCCGUGGGAAAGCUUCAUGUGUGAAAAGUGUUAGGCCUGGCUUUCUGUGGGAGAGGCUGGACCGUUACACCCCUGAGCUGAAAGAUGACUGCUUCUUUUUCUGCAGUGGUACUGAUACGAGGUGGCAGGCAGCAAUAGAUCAGAGCUGUGUUGGACCCCAGUUUAAAGCUGGCCCUGGGUAAGGCUCUGCAGUAGUCUGUAAGUUUCCCUUGGAAGGCAAAACUUCAUUACAGAAAAUAUGAUGGUGAAUAAGUGAGUCUCAUGAACAACAGGAAAUAAUCUCUGCAGUUGUGGCAGCUAGUUCUAGUUUGUGGAAAAUACACAGUAUUUGUGUGAGCUUUUGAGUACUGGUUUUAUUUCCAUGAUUCUUUUUGGCUGAUAUAACACUUUGACAUUGAAUUUUAAACCAUUUCACCUCCCAGGAAGCAAACAUCAUCACCACAGGACCUUCUCUGGUGCUGUUUGCAUUUCCCAUUGCACUGGUAUCACUCAGCUAUGAAAAACCAAAAUCACUGUUUUAACAAGGCAAUGGUUGUUAGAAAAGAGCGGUUUCCCAAGGGAUAAUAGGUGGUAAGUUGCUCUAUUGGUAGAAUGCAGCAAGUUGCAGUGAUACCUAUCUAACACACGUGUAGGCUUUGGAC